CGGGUGCACUGAUCCAGCCGGGCCUUUCCCUCUGUGGAACCCCAUGGCCUUCACUGGCUGUGGUGGGGAAACAGGACUUUUACUUUGAAAAAAUUAGAGUGCUCCAGGCAGGCCUAUGCUCGAAUACAUUAGCAUGGAAUAUAGAUAGGACGUGUGGUUCUAUUUUGUGGUUUCUAGGACCGCCGUAAUGAUUAUAGGGACAGUCGGGGGCAUCAGUAUUCAAUUGUCAGAGGUGAAAUUCUUGGAUCUAUUGAAGACUAACUACUGCGAAAGCAUUUGCCAAGGAUGUUUUCAUUGAUAAGGAACGAAAGUUAGGGGAUCGAAGACGAUCAGAUACCGUCGUAGUCUUAACUAUAAACUAUGCCGACUAGGGAUCGGACGAUGUUAUUCUUUGACGCGUUCGGCACCUUUCGAGAAAUCAAAGUGCUUGGGCUCCAGGGGGAGUAUGGUCGCAAGGCUGAAACUUAAAGAAAUUGACGGAAGGGCACCACCAGGGGUGGAACCUGCGGCUUAAUUUGACUCAACACGGGGAAACUCACCAGGUCCAGACACAGUGAGGAUUGACAGAUUGAGAGCUCUUUCUUGAUUCUGUGGGUGGUGGUGCAUGGCCGUUCUUAGUUGGUGGAGUGAUUUGUCUGCUUAAUUGCGAUAACGAACGAGACCUUAACCUGCUAAAUAGCCCGUACUGCUUUGGCAGUUCGCCGGCUUCUUAGAGGGACUAUCGG
rnacentral:rRNA from 1 species